rnacentral:rRNA from 1 species
GGACUACCAGGGUUUCUAAUCCCGUUCGCUCCCCUAGCUUUCGCCCCCGAGCGUCAGGCACCAGCCAGGACACUGCCUUCGCCUUCGGUGUUCUUCCGGAUAUCUACGCAUUUCACCACUACACCCGGAGUUCCGUGUCCCUCUCUGGCCCUCUCAGUCCCAUAGUCUUUGAGACCCUCGCCCAGUUAAGCCGAGCGCUGUCACCUCAAACUUAUGCGACCGCCUGCGGGCGCUUUACGCCCAGUAACUCCGGGCAACACUCGCCCCCUACGUAUUACCGCGGCUGCUGGCAC